AUUUAUUACGUUAUUGUGUGUUAACAGUAUUCUGUUCUGCUAGUAUCAUGGUACUGUAUUUUCUCGAUAUUUAUCUUCAUACAAAAUUCUAUAAUUCAUGAACAAAUGAAUUUCCUACGUAAGUUAUUGUAUUCUUUUUAUGUAAUACAGAUUAUGUACUGUUUUUUAAUAAGACAUAUAGGAUUUUGUAUUUGUAAUGACAUUGUGUGAUAUUUCAAGAUAUUGUAGAACAUCGUAUCACCUAAGACGAAACAAAAGACGUCAUACAAGGUUUAUAAAUGUUGACAUACUACUUUGAAGCAACUUUUGUGAAUCUUUUUGAUCUUUUCUUUGGUUCUUUUGUUUCUUUUCUGCUAGUUUUCUUGUUCAUUUGGUUGCGAUUUUGGUCUCUUUACUGCUGUGUCGGAAUUAUCUAUAAACUAUAUUGCAAUUUUCUGAGGCGGAAAUAUUUAAACGGGACAAGAAAGAACACGAAGAACAAGUGAGAGAAUCAAGAUAGAAGUAAAUGGACAAGUGAUUGACCCAACAGCAUAUAACACGUCAGGAUCAUUAACACUAAGGUGGCAAAGCAUUAAUCAUAUCUAUUCGUCUUCUAUUAAAGGAUGUUAUCAUUCAUUCUAUCACAAAAAAUUAUGGCUUUUCAGUUUCACAAACCUCUUGUUCUAG
rnacentral:misc_RNA from 1 species